rnacentral:tRNA from 1 species
UGGCUCAGUGGAUAGAGCGUUGGCCUGCGGAUCCAAGGGUCCCAGGUUCGAUUCUGG